GAAAUCACAAACCAACAAUCCAAUUUCAUUAAAAUAUAUAUUUGGCCUUUAAAUACCAAAAGCAUAAAUAAAACUAUCAUAAUGGAUAAAUAUGAAAAUAAAUAAUUAAAGUUGACAUUGUUCAGUUUGAGAUUUAAAACUACAAAUAAAGAAAAGUUUCUUCCCUUCUCAAAGCUUAAUUCUUAAGUCACAGAUAUUAAAGUUGUCCUUAUACUUCUCACAAAAUCAAUAGAUUUUUCUUUUCCUGGAAAAUAAAACAACGAAUCCACCAACAACAACAAAAUUCAUACGAAAAAGAAAAAAAACACAAUACGAAUCCGACAAUUGAAAGCGAAGAAGCAAAAAGGAAAAUGGAACUACCACAGUGAGACUUUAGAUCCGAUGAAGAAAAAUAGAGGCUCUGCACAGUGUUGACAGAACAAUGGUGGUUGCCGGCGGAAUCUACACGCAACGUUGUUAUUAAUGCAGGUUGCGUUUUCGGUUUCUACACGGUAGUUUGUUGUGUUCAGGUGGAGGGUUGCAUUAUUGAUAGUAUUUGGAAACUAAGAGUGGCUUCAUGUGAUUUUAAAAUGAAGGAAGAUAGAUAUGGAGUGUUGUUUGUAGUUUCAUGCAAGUUGCAGUGAGAUAGGCUGCAACUUACAUCAAUGAAAAAGAAUGGUAAGUAUUGGAAUGGUUUAGUAUUUUUUCCUUAGAAAAAAAAAUAAUGCUGAAUGAAAAGAGAGAGAUAUUGAGAGGUGUUCCUUGCUCAUUGGUGUGAAUGGUUUUUUUGCUUAAAAAAAUUAGAGAAUUGGGAUUGAGGGCGGCGCUUGGUG
rnacentral:lncRNA from 1 species